CUACGGGGCGCAGCAGUGGGGAAUAUUGGACAAUGGGGGAAACCCUGAUCCAGCAAUGCCGCGUGUGUGAAGAAGGCCUGCGGGUUGUAAAGCACUUUCGGUUGGGAGGACUGCUUCUAGCACUAAUAUUGUUGGAAGUUGACGUUACCUUCAGAAGAAGCACCGGCUAACUCCGUGCCAGCAGCCGCGGUAAUGCGGAGGGUGCAAGCGUGAAUCGGAAUUACUGGGCGUAAAGCGCGCGGAGGCGGCUAGAUCAGUCGGGUGUGAAAGCCCCGGGCUUAAUCUGGGAACUGCAUCCGAUACUGUCUAGCUUGAGUACAGGAGAGGAGAGUGGAAUUCCACAUGUAGCGGUGAAAUGCGUAGAUAUGUGGAGGAACACCAAUGGCGAAGGCAGCUCUCUGGCCUGAUACUGACGCUGAGGUGCGAAAGCGUGGGGAGCAAACAGGAUUAGAUACCCGAGUAGUC
rnacentral:rRNA from 1 species